GAUGAACGCUGGCGGCGUGCCUAAUACAUGCAAGUCGAGCGAACGGACGAGAAUCUUGCUUCUCUGAUGUUAGCGGCGGACGGGUGAGUAACACGUGGAUAACCUACCUAUAAGACUGAGAUAACUUCGGGAAACCGUAGCUAACACCGGAUAAUAUUUUGAACCGCAUGGUUCAAAAGUGAAAGACGGUCUUGCUGUCACUUAUAGAUGGAUCCGCGCUGCAUUAGCUAGUUGGUACGGUAACGGCUUACCAAGGCGACGAUGCGUAGCCGACCUGAGAGGGUGAUCGGCCACACUGGAACUGAGACACGGUCCAGACUCCUACGGGAGGCAGCAGUAGGGAAUCUUCCGCAAUGGGCGAAAGCCUGACGCAGCAACGCCGCGUGUGUGAUGAAGGUCUUCGGAUCGUAAAACUCUGUUAUUAGGGAAGAACAUAUGUGUAAGUAACUGUGCACAUCUUGACGGUAACUAAUCAGAAAGCCCCGGCUAACUACGUG
rnacentral:rRNA from 1 species